rnacentral:rRNA from 1 species
UACAGAGGGGGCAAGCGUUGUUCGGAAUUACUGGGCGUAAAGGGCGCGUAGGCGGCCGCCUAAGUCAGACGUGAAAUCCCUCGGCUCAACCGGGGAACUGCGUCUGAUACUGGGUGGCUUGAAUCCGGGAGAGGGAUGCGGAAUUCCAGGUGUAGCGGUGUAAUGCGUAGAUAUCUGGAGGAACACCGGUGGCGAAGGCGGCAUCCUGGACCGGCAUUGACGCUGAGGCGCGAAAGCCAGGGGAGCAAACAGG